rnacentral:rRNA from 1 species
CUACGGGAGGCAGCAGUGGGGAAUUUUGCGCAAUGGGGGAAACCCUGACGCAGCAAUACCGCGUGAGUGAAGAAGGCCUUUGGGUCGUAAAGCUCUUUUCUUGGGGAAGAUAGUGACGGUACCCAAGGAAUAAGCACCGGCUAACUCCGUGCCAGCAGCCGCGGUAAUACGGAGGGUGCAAGCGUUGUGCGGAUUUACUGGGCGUAAAAGGCACGUAGGCGGCACAGCAAGUUAAGGGUGAAAUCCCGGGGCUCAACUCCGGAACCGCUCUUAAAACUGCUGAGCUAGAGAUAGUCAGAGGCGAGUGGAAUUCCAGGUGUAGAGGUGAAAUUCGUAGAUAUCUGGAGGAACACCGGUGGCGAAGGCGGCCCGCUGGGGCUAUUCUGACGCUAAGGUGCGAAAGCGUGGGGAGCAAACGGGAUUAGAUACCCGCGUAGUC